rnacentral:rRNA from 1 species
UACGUAGGGUGCGAGCGUUAAUCGGAAUUACUGGGCGUAAAGCGUGCGCAGGCGGCGCGUUAAGACAGGUGUGAAAGCCCCCGAGCUUAACUUGGGAAUUGCGCUUGUGACUGGCGUGCUGGAGUGUGGCAGAGGGAGGUGGAAUUCCACGUGUAGCAGUGAAAUGCGUAGAGAUGUGGAGGAACACCGAUGGCGAAGGCAGCCCCUCGUUAGGCAGCACGUCG